rnacentral:rRNA from 1 species
CCUUUGUACGUUAGUCGGCGGACGGGUGGAGUAACACGUGGGUAACCUACCUAUAAGACUGGGAUAACUUCGGGAAACCGGAGCUAAUACCGGAUAAUAUUUCGAACCGCAUGGUUCGAUAGUGAAAGAUGGUUUUGCUAUCACUUAUAGAUGGACCCGCGCCGUAUUAGCUAGUUGGUAAGGUAACGGCUUACCAAGGCGACGAUACGUAGCCGACCUGAGAGGGUGAUCGGCCACACUGGAACUGAGACACGGUCCAGACUCCUACGGGAGGCAGCAGAC